GUCAGUGUGGCCGAGUGGUUAAGGCGAUUGACUCGAAUUUUCAUACAUAUUCGAUAUCAAUUCCAUUCGUGGGCACAGGUUCGAAUCCUGUCGCUGACG
rnacentral:tRNA from 1 species